UGUGUGUGUGUGCUGGAUGAUGGUAUUUUGUGUGAGUGCUGGAUGAUGUGUGUGUGUGCUGGAUGAUGUGUGUGUGUGCUGGAUGAUGGGUGUGUGUGAGUGCUGACGAUGUGUGUGUGAUGGAUGAUGUGUGUGUGAGUGCUGGAUGAUGUGUGUGUGUGUGUGUGUGUGCUGGAUGAUGUGUGUGUGUGCUGGAUGAUGGGUGUGUGUGUG